rnacentral:rRNA from 1 species
UACGAAGGGAGCUAGCGUUGUUCGGAAUCACUGGGCGUAAAGCGCACGUAGGCGGCCUUGCAAGUGACGGGUGAAAUCCCUCGGCUUAACCGAGGAACUGCCUGUCAGACUGCAUGGCUUGAGACCGGGAGAGGUGAGUGGAAUUCCCAGUGUAGCGGUGAAAUGCGUAGAUAUUGGGAGGAACACCAGUGGCGAAGGCGGCUCACUGGACCGGUACUGACGCUGAGGCGCGAAAGCGUGGGGAGCAAACAGG